UACAGAGGGGGCCAGCGUUAUUCGGAAUCACUGGGCGUAAAGGGUGCGUAGGCGGGUCUUUAAGUCAGGGGUGAAAUCCUGGAGCUCAACUCCAGAACUGCCUUUGAUACUGAAGAUCUUGAGUGCGGGAGAGGUGAGUGGAACUGCGAGUGUAGAGGUGAAAUUCGUAGAUAUUCGCAAGAACACCAGUGGCGAAGGCGGCUCACUGGCCCGAUACUGACGCUGAGGCACGAAAGCGUGGGGAGCAAACAGG
rnacentral:rRNA from 1 species